CCUAGAUUUCUCAGUGCUCUUGAAUAAAGUUUUGGCUUUCCUGACCCACAAAACAUUGCAUAUAAUUAAAAGAUAGGGAAUUUUUUAUUAAAUACAUUAGUAAAAGUACUUGGUUUUGUCUCUAAAUAUUACAUUGUUAUGAGAUUAAAUAGCUGUUCAAAUUUAUUUAAUAAAAAUCCUAUGCAGAAACACAAUUGUUUGGUAUUCAUAUAAUGUAUUCUAGUUUAUAACUUAUUUAUUUUAACUGUUGGACAUUAAUGUUAAUUGUUGGCUACUAAUUGUUUUAUUUUAAUGAAAA